GCCUGGGUUGCUCAGUCGGUUGAGCAUCUGACUUUGGCUCUCAGGUCAUGAUCUCGUGGUUUGUGAGUUCGAGCCCCACAUCAGGCU
rnacentral:tRNA from 1 species